CUCGGGGUCCGAGCCGUGCAGGCCCGGGGGGAGGGAACAAACCGCCCCGUCCCCGCGCUGUUCGGGCGGGCUCGUUGGUCUGCCUGCCCUCCGAGCGGCGCCGACCUAGCCAGGUCGCCUGUCCUGGCUCAGACGCCAGGGUGAGAGUUGCAGCUCCUCCGGAAAGCCACUGCUUUCCUCGCGAGUGGGUCGGUGAGUACAUACCCACUGUGUGUGAACAUUGCUCAGCAUCACUGGAUGAACAGGAUUAUACAGAAGACCUUCAAGAGAUCCAUCUGUAUAGGUCAGCUGGAAGAAUUAGGACCCAGAUCUGUACUAUAUUUGAGGAGCAUUGUAGUGAAGCAUUCGUGUGUUAAAUGGGAUUGUCUUAACACUACUUUAAAAUAUAAAAAUACAUAUGGUGAAACAUGAUUCUGGUGCCUUCAGGUUAAAGUAAAUACCUUGUUCUAUAAGUAGAUCUACUGACUUUAUGAAACAAAUUUGGGUAAUUGGACCUGUGAUGGAUGUUUCAGUAUUUCUACAAAGGCUAGAUGUAUUAUCAUGAUGAGGGGUUUUUCUAAUACAAAAUGCAAGAUAUGCAGACUUCAUGAAUUAGUUCUUUGAAAGCCUGUUCACAUUUCCCAAAUUGAAGCAUAUCAGUGGAUUUUUGGUUUGGUUUUAAAUGCCUCAUCCUUCUUCAAAGGUGAAAACUUGCUUUUGUGGGGGUAUAGGACAUAGCAAGCAGUUAGUGGUUAAUGUGUGUCAAAGAUGUUUUCAUUCUUUGAUGACAGGAAAUGCUAGGCUCUUCGAACAGAAAUCAUGGUUUACUGGUUCUAGCUGAUUUGCAGAGUCACGCCAGCAUUUCUUUGUAGAGCUCUUUGUCAUACUAAGUGCUCAUGUAAGUUUGUGCCAGACUUCUCUUACAUUAUUGAUUUGGCUCAUGAAACUGAACGUUGUAGUUGCAAAGGGCCAGUUCAAGGAUUUGACCUUACCCUGAGCAAAGUGAUUCCAUGGUGCUUUUGUGAAAUGACAAGCAAAUACACACAUCUGUUGCCUAGGCAGGGGCAACCCAAAGGCCUGGACCCAACCCCCCACAUUUUGUUCUGACUGGUGUGGUGUGACAUACAGAAGGGUGCAGCUUCACACUCUCACUCAUAGGGGGCUACAUCCUCUUCUAGCAAUGUUUCCCAUGAUAGCUGCUCUAAUGCAAAUUCCUUAAUCGGUGUAGAUUAAUUUAUAUUCUCAACGUAGAUUAAUUUAUAUUCUCAAGGCAAUCUUUGUAGAGGAAAGUAUGGACAAGAAUUUGGAGAAGACGGUCAAAAUAGUCCUUAGCAUGUGUGUGUUCCUUGAAUUAUUAUAGAAGGUCCUAUUUUGUGAGAAUAUUAUGGCCCUACAAAGCCAGUCCUUUUUGUAAGCGUAGUACACCUGGUUUACAGGUAUUAAUAAAAUUAAUCAAAGUAUGUCA
rnacentral:lncRNA from 1 species